rnacentral:lncRNA from 1 species
UAUGUAUCAAUCAAAAAUUUAUAAAAACCACUGCUUUCUAGUAUAUGUCAGGGAUUUUUUUUUUUUAAGAGACUGAAAGUCUCCCUAACCAGGCUCAAACUCUUUGCCUGGCUUCAGUGUUACCCACUAUGUACUCACUCAAGGUGUCCCUGUACUCAUUAGUCAGUCACGUCCCUUCAGGAGAUGAUUUUAAAAAAUUAUUUUCAGUCCUGCCUCUAGGGUUUGCUCACUUACCAGCCUUAGCCUACAGCACUGCCCUGCUUUCCUCCUCUCUUCCUUCUAAGUUCAGUUCCAAUUCCAUUUAUAAAGACUCAGCCCCCACCAUCUGCUCUAGUUCCAGUGAUAUUUUUCCUCUUAUGAAUUUCUACUCAAUAUUUUUAUAAUUCUCUAACUGUCCUAUAUGUUAGUUUUUCUUCCCCAACCAGACUAAAAAGCUCUAAUUGAGGAGAGUCUUAGUAUUUUGCUCCUUUUGCACAGGAAGAGCUUCUGUUAUGUGUCUUCCUUUCUUGCUGAGAGCACAUAAUCCCAUAUACAAGGGACCAGGUACACCAGAGGCAGGAGGAGGUGGACGUGUUUCUCUACACCAGGGAGUGAUAGCACACACAGCCCUUCUGCCUCCAAGUUCACACAGAAGACAGACAGUUGGGACAGUCAGCCAGCAAGCUGAGAGUGAGUAAUUUUCUCCACCAGAAAAUCACGGGAUGAAGGAUGUAUGCUGAGUGUCAAAGAGGACGCUUUAACAAAGAAGGGGUUGAAAUUGAGGAGAUCCUAAGCAUGGAUUAAUAUGAAGACUUUCUCUUGCAUUGACCUCUUUGAGAACCUUCUCAAGAAUGGCUGUAAAGACAAGCAGAGUAAAAUGUUGAGGACUGGAGAUGCUAAACGCCUGAUGUUUAAAAAAAACAGCAAGUUACUGCAUAAAAAUAUUUUGGUUUAUCCGAUGUAAUAUAAGGCACGGAGUUAAAAGCUGGUACAACUGGGUUAAAAAAGACUUUGAGUUUAUGGUGAAUGACAUAAGAGCAAAUGCCUCUAAAUAUAUAUAUUCUUCAAUGGGAAAAAUAAGAAAAGAAUAGCCAAUAGGGAAAAAGUCUUUAUCAAGAAAAUUUGUUUUGAAGAAAUUAUAGCAAAUUUACUGGAGAUGUGGUGGACACUGUGAUCAGCGAUCAGUUCUACCCCAGAAGCCCUUUCAGGAUUAAAAAACUUAUUCCCCUGGCUGCAGAGAGUGCCAGCAGAAGAGGGUCCCCAUCCAAGAUCAAGCCUCCUUCCAGGGGCAGUCUGCACACAGCGAUGGGUCAAUGCAGAGGUAAAAAGGCCAGUCCUCUUGCUCCAAAUUGGAAGGACUUUGAACAACUACCCUAGCUCCAGAGCUCUCUGUGGGGUUGGUUCAGGACUUGGUAGAGAACCACUUCAUAGCUCAGCUUCACUGAGUGGUUGUGGUUGCAUCUCCUCCCUUCCAAAGGUAUUGAUCCCCAGAGAUCAAUUCUGUUAGAUCUGUCAGGUAUCUCUAACAACAUAAGGCAUCCAAAUCUCAAUCUCAGAGUGCGCUUCCUGGGUAACCCAACCUGUGGCAAAGAUAAAACUUGUGUUUUCCUUAGAAAGUAGCUCAUUAAGCAGAGUACAUAUAUUUAAGUCAGUUUCCUCAUUUACAAAAUUGGAAUAUUAAUAUAUGAGCACAAUAAGGUUCCUGCAAGGAUUAAAUGAGGCACUACAUAAAAUACUUUGAGUGCCUGGCAAUGCUAAAUAUGCAAUAAAUGCUAGGCCAUUAUUAAAUAAUGUUUUAAAUCCUGUUUUAAAAAACAGGAUUACUGUUUAAAAUCUUCUGAAGAACUGUAAGGAAGAUAUUGAGGAUAAUGAUAGCCUAUGAAAAGUUACUGUUCAUGCCAGUAGCUUCUAAGCUCCCUAUACCAUCUUCCUGCAAAUUCUUGAUUUUUCUUUUUACUUCCCAGUCAACCCUUUUCCCAUUUCCUUAAACAUUUCUCCCUGUGCCCAGUAAUUCUGUAAUUACAUUAUAACAAAAUUAUAAAAAUGUCUAAGAAGGAAAAAAGAGGGGAGGGAGGAUUGAGAGAUAUGACCCAAAGUAAAACAGAUUUCACAUAUUCCAGCAGUCCUGAGGCUGACUAGGGCAGGAGAUCAUGGAUUGGUUAUUUUAAAAAUACAAACCUACAAUCUGACAAAAUUCUAUCUCCAGGAUUCUAAUUCAGAAGAUCUUGGGGAAGUGGGCACAGAUAUAAUUAUAAUUAUUAUUAUUAUUAUUAUUAUUAUUAUUAUUUUUUGAGACAGAGUCUCGCUCUGUCGUCCAGGCUAGAGUGCAGUGGCACAAUUUCGGCUCACUGCAAGCUCCGCCUCCCGGGUUCACACCAUUCUCCUGCCUCAGCCUCCCGAGUAGCUGGGACUACAGGCGCGCGCCACCACGCCUGGCUAAUUUUUUUUUUAAUUUUUAGUAGAGACGGGGUUUCACCGUGUUAGCCAGGAUGGUCUGGAUCUCCUGACCUCGUGAUCCGCCCGCCUCGGCCUCCCAAAGUGCUGGGAUUACAGGCGUGAGCCACCGCGCCCGGCCAAUAUUUGCAUUUUUAAAAACUCCCCAGGGACAGAAAGAAUUGCAAAGAAAUCUUAAACUUCGUUCAGAAUUUUAUUGUAAUUCAAAACUAUAUAUGUAUAUAUGAAUCAAAUAAAUAUAUUGCAAGUUUUAAGUGUGAUAUACAAAUAUAAUUUUUAAAAUUAAUGUUAAAUUUAAAUUACAAAUACUAACAUGAACUCAUGAUUAAGAGAAAUACACAUAUUUCCUUGCACUGUCCACUGAAAAGGUCAAGAAGCAAAGAUACAAGUACAAUAGGUAUGCCUAACACUUAGAGCUUGAUUUAUACAUACCAUCCUUCACUAAAAAGAACUGAGGUUCCUUGAAGAAAUGGUUGAUUUGGGGUCUGAGGCAGGAAAUUGGAAGGUGAGCAAAUUUAGUUGUGUCAGAAAGAAAAGUAGCCCUGAAAAAAUAAUGGGAAAAAUUCGAUAUGGUGAGAUCUACUCGAAACGUGGUAAAGGGGAAGGAUUACAAAUUACCCUAACUUUUUAGAAGAAACUGUAGUCGACCCACAGUUGAUAAAGAAAUGCUCACCUUUACAGAAGAAGGCCAGCUAAUCAAUGUAGAUGUAACAACAGAGUCUGAUGGAACAAUAGAUUCUGGUAGGGACAAAAGGAUGGUUUCCUUUAGGUGAAAUGUUAGCAACAGGAUAUUCACAUAGUACCAAACUACCAUCCAGACACGUUUGUUAUUUACAAAAAAAAAGAGAUCUGCUACUUACCACCAUGAACAAAUGAUUAAAUACAAUUACCAGCGAUGAAACAACCUGACGUCAUUUGCCACCUGAUGUAAUGCAAUAUGAAGUACACACAUCAAUGAAGAAGUAUUUUUAUCAAUAAUGUUUUACCUAAACUCAAAUCAAGCCAAGACUUAUACAGAUAGGUCUAUGUAUAUACACACAGAGGGAGAGAAAGGCAGAGAGAGAAACCAAAUUUGUUAAA